UGUCCAUUUCUCUCGCUCUCUCUCAUCAUCUCUCGAUCUCUCCUUCCCCCCUCUCUCUCUGACCCAGUCAUUCCCCAGGUGGUGGUAGGCCACAGUGAGCUGCAGGAGAUAUUUGAUCUGUCACUGCUUCCAGGGGGCCGAAUUGUCCCUGUGCAUGGUGGAUGGUCCCUCGCCCUCCUCCGUCUCCCUCUCUCCCCACGGCCUGUCUGACUUCUCUGCUACUGCUGCUCUUCCUCUCCCUGGGGAUUCUGCACUGGUGGUCGAUAAAGGAGAAGAGUGAUGUGGAGCAAGCUGAAGACGAUCCAGAUUCUAGGUGCCCAGUGCGGGAGAUAUAUCUACUGAAAUAAAAACUGUCCUAUGACGCUCAUCCAUUCCCUUGUCUGUGACGGUGAAGAAUAUCUGGGUUUGGUCAGAGCAAUCGGUCUUUAGCUGGUUUCACCACUAGAGGGCGAUAAGCACAUGUUAAUAUCUGUAAAUUCAGUGCUUUAAGGCAGGAGUCAUUAAGAUCGGUUGCCUUACUUUCCUGAUGUAAGACAUUAUUUGUUAUAAUGACAAUGAUUAGGUUACUAUUAUCACCACAUACUGUGGCAUGGUGAGACCAGUGAAUGCUUUAUGGGACAGAUUCAACAAAUUUUUAUUUGUUCAAAGACCCCUACUGUUAUGACAGAUUCGAUGUGAUACAUAAUGAGACGUUUGUAAUUAAGAAAACCUCAACCCUAACCUAGCAUCAACCCUUACCGUAAACCUAGCUUCAUUUCCACAUCUCGGCUCAAUCCUAGCCUCAACUCUAACCCUAGCAAAAAAUAUAAAUUGACUUCUUUCUAUGAUUAUAUACGGAUUGUUAACUGAUCGUUAACUGUGACAGACAGAUGGGUUAACUAUUGUAUGAAUUAACCCCUUCAUUGGUUAAACUUGAUGUGGCUCAUGAGUAUUAUUAGUUCACUGUAUUCUGGCUAGGUGGUUGUGAGAUUAUUGUGACACUGACCAUACCAUGAUGGAGGGAACAUGAUCUGAGGAGAGGCGGAGCGUUACUGCCGUUAUAAACCCUCAGUGUGUGUCUAAAUAUAUACAGACAUGACUCAUCGUUUAACCCAGCCAUUUAACAGGCGCUGAGGGUGUAUUUUUUUCCAAUGGGUUGUUCAGUUGUCUGGGCAAUGGAUGAUGCAUCAAGGGGCCUCCUAGCUAGAAGUGUAUUCUGGAUUUUAUCAAACCUGGAAUUAAAGUUUCCACUUCAUGAUA